rnacentral:rRNA from 1 species
AGUGAACGCUGGCGGUAGGCCUAACACAUGCGAGUCGAACGGCAGCACAGUAAGAGCUUGCUCUUACGGGUGGCGAGUGGCGGACGGGUGAGGAAUACAUCGGAAUCUACUUUUUCGUGGGGGAUAACGUAGGGAAACUUACGCUAAUACCGCAUACGACCUACGGGUGAAAGCAGGGGAUCUUCGGACCUUGCGCGAUUGAAUGAGCCGAUGUCGGAUUAGCUAGUUGGCGGGGUAAAGGCCCACCAAGGCGACGAUCCGUAGCUGGUCUGAGAGGAUGAUCAGCCACACUGGAACUGAGACACGUUCCAGACUCCUACGGGAGGCAGCAGUGGGGAAUAUUGGACAAUGGGCGCAAGCCUGAUCCAGCCAUACCGCGUGGGUGAAGAAGGCCUUCGGGUUGUAAAGCCCUUUUGUUGGGAAAGAAAAGCAGCAGGUUAAUACCCCGCUGUUCUGACGGUACCCAAAGAAUAAGCACCGGCUAACUUCGUG